rnacentral:rRNA from 1 species
GAGUAAUGCAUAGGAAUCUACCUAGUAGUAUAGGAUAGCCACUAGAAAUGGUGGGUAAUACUGUAUAAUCCCUGCGGGGGAAAGAUUUAUCGCUACAUGAUGAGCCUAUGUUAGAUUAGCUAGUUGGUGGGGUAAUGGCCUACCAAGGCAGUGAUCUAUAGCUGGUCUGAGAGGAUGAUCAGCCACACUGGAACUGAGACACGGUCCAGACUCCUACGGGAGGCAGCAGUGGGGAAUAUUGGACAAUGGGCGCAAGCCUGAUCCAGCUAUGCCGCGUGAGUGAGGAAGGCCUUAGGGUUGUAAAACUCUUUCAGUAGGGAAGAUAAUGACGGUACC